rnacentral:rRNA from 1 species
GAGCGCUAUCACAGGAGAGCUUGCUUUUCGGGUGACGAGCGGCGGACGGGUGAGUAAUGUCUGGGAAACUGCCUGAUGGAGGGGGAUAACUACUGGAAACGGUAGCUAAUACCGCAUAACGUCGCAAGACCAAAGAGGGGGACCUUCGGGCCUCUUGCCAUCAGAUGUGCCCAGAUGGGAUUAGCUAGUAGGUGGGGUAAUGGCUCACCUAGGCGACGAUCCCUAGCUGGUCUGAGAGGAUGACCAGCCACACUGGAACUGAGACACGGUCCAGACUCCUACGGGAGGCAGCAGUGGGGAAUAUUGCACAAUGGGCGCAAGCCUGAUGCAGCCAUGCCGCGUGUAUGAAGAAGGCCUUCGGGUUGUAAAGUACUUUCAGCGAGGAGGAAGGCAUUGAUGUUAAUAACCUCAGUGAUUGACGUUACUCGCAGAAGAAGCACCGGCUAACUCCGUGCCAGCAGCCGCGGUAAUACGGAGGGUGCAAGCGUUAAUCGGAAUUACUGGGCGUAAAGCGCACGCAGGCGGUCUGUCAAGUCGGAUGUGAAUCCCCGGGCUCAACCUGGAACUGCAUUCGAAAGUGGCACGCUAGAUCUUGUAGAGGGGUGUAGAAUCCCGUGU